AUGCGGCUCUCCUUGCUGCUGCAGUGCGCGGCCGCGUUCAGUGCCGUCGCUCUCCUCCUGAUCAUCCACCAACAGAACAAGGAGGGGGUUGAAAUGGCCAGGCUGGCGUCCUUCCUGGACAGGAAGGUGCACGUGGUGGGGGAGACGCUGAGCGAGACGCUGGGCACCCUGGAGCAGCUGGAGGCCAAGGCGGACGAGACCGAGUCUCUGCGCCGGACGCUAAGGGACCUGAACAACAAGGUGGCGGAGUGGAGGGCCAACCUGACCAAGUGCCGCCGGGAGAAGAAAGACAUGGAGUACAAACUUCAAGUCGCGCUUACGGAAAGGAACCAGAUGGGAGAUCAUCUAGAGGGAGAGAGGGAUGUUUGGACCCUGGAGCUCAACCUACUAAAAAAGCAGAUGUCACUGGACAGCAAGUUUUGCGAUUUUCUAUCACCCGCAUCUAAGAAAACCACGAUGCUGUGCAAAGGAGACCACCAAGGAGGUGAUUCCAAACAACAGACUACCGUCAAUCUGAAUAGCUGAACAUCCCAUUCUGGGUUCUACACUGGACGUGAAACCG
rnacentral:lncRNA from 1 species